AACACGGGGAAACUCACCAGGUCCAGACACAUUAAGGAUUGACAGAUUGAGAGCUCUUUCUUGAUUAUGUGGGUGGUGGUGCAUGGCCGUUCUUAGUUGGUGGAGUGAUUUGUCUGCUUAAUUGCGAUAACGAACGAGACCUUAACCUGCUAAAUAGCCAGGCUAGCUUUUGCUGGUCGCCGGCUUCUUAGAGGGACUAUCGGCUCAAGCCGAUGGAAGUUUGAGGCAAUAACAGGUCUGUGAUGCCCUUAGAUGUUCUGGGCCGCACGCGCGCUACACUGACAGAGCCAGCGAGUAUAAACCUUAACCGAGAGGUUUGGGUAAUCUUGUUAAACUCUGUCGUGCUGGGGAUAGGGCAUUGCAAUUAUUGCCCUUCAACGAGGAAUAUCUAGUAAGCGCAAGUCAUCAGCUUGCGUUGAUUACGUCCCUGCCCUUUGUACACACCGCCCGUCGCUACUACCGAUUGAAUGGCUCAGUGAGGCCUUCGGACUGGCUCCAGG
rnacentral:rRNA from 1 species